UUAAGCUCUUGGCCUUCUCUCUCUGUUUUCCACGUAGAGUUGUGAGGUUUCUUCUUCUACUUACUGAGUUUUUCUUUGGUUUCUCCGACACUGCCGCCAUCACAAUUACCACCAGAAGCUAUACCUUCAUCUACUUCUCCUUCUCGAGGAGCAACAAUGAUUCGAAGUUAACCACACAUCUUCUGAUAUUUUAGUUGAUUUCAGUUGGUCAUGAAGGGAUUUGCUAGGUACAAAUUAGGGGAGGAAAACAUUUCUAGCUAGAUGUCUCAGCAGCUUGGUUUUUCGAGGCAAAUCAGGCUCCAAAGGAAGCUUCUCAAUAAGGAUGUUGAGAAGUCAUUUAGAAGGCAACUCAGGAAAUGUGAUAGCCAUUUGUAUACGUUUCCGGUUAGUAGAUUUUUUGGUCUCUUUAAACAAUACAUAAAGGGUUAUUAUGGGACUAUGUCGCCAAUUUAGGUAUUGGUAGACAAAUUCGUCCUGACCGAUAUAGCGGUACAAGACGGCAAGUAAGAGAGGACAUGGAUGACACUGAAAAUAUAGUACUGCUCAUUGGAGAUGAUAAUUUAUCACCGAAAGGAUAGUUUACACAUGGAGAAAGACACAGCAACAUAGUGCGGAACAUUCCCAAAAUUGCAUUUGAGUGCAGUUUACAUAGUUUGACUGGAUAAUCUGAAUUAUUAAUAUAAUAAAACAAAAGGGAAAAAACGUUUUCAACUUGGAUGUCACUACAUGAAACUGGAUAGUAUUGUCCAAUUGGCUACCUGUAGGAGUUGUUUAAGAGAAUAUUUUCUCAACAGGAUAUGUACGUAUGGUGACCUACAGUAUUUUAACUGGAUGAUCUGGAUUAUUAGUAUAAUAAAACAAGAGUGACUCCCUACUACAGUAAGUAGAAAGUAUAUUCUAAAUGUGACCUCAGCUGGAGAAUGAGAAUGGUGUAUUCGUCAUAUAUUACUUGCAAAAAAAUCUUAUCAGAUGAACAAAAUAACUUCGUGGAAAUGCUCAUUCUCCUGAAGUAUGGGUAACAAAGAGAAGAUUGUACAUCUUCGUCGUCUUUUAAGCAGACAAACAAUGUUCGUAACUAUAUUACUGGAUGUGCUUUUCAUGGGUAGGUUUGAUGUGGUGGUAAAUGGUGAAUUCUCUCUAAGUCUUCACAAUAACAAACGAGAGAAUAGGUAGCAGGAUCCUGUGUGCGACAGAGAUAUGUUAAUUCUUGAAAAAGUGGGUACUUACUACCACUGUAUAGGGUUGCGUAUGAUGAUAUCCUGUUGUAACAGCACGACUGCCACAAAGCCAUGGCGUUGGACUUUGUGGCAGUAGAUAGAGCUACUUUUAAGAAGUUAUAUCUAGAGGCAAUCCAAAUAUAUUUGAACCAAUGAAAACUUGAUAAUUGUUGUUGUUGGGGCUUUCGAUGCAAUAGUAAGACAGGUAUGGUGUAUUCUCACAAACAUAGUCAGGUGUUAACCUUGGUUCCAUCUCUUAAUUGCUUAAUUUCCUCACUAAAUAACGCUAUUUUACGUUUUUAAUUUCUUGAUCUGUUCUAACAGUUUCGUUAUAUAUAAUUGGGUGGAAACCCUAAUUUUGUUUUCACCAUCAUCAAACUAUCAGCAUCAGGCUAUUGAAGCGAAAUAUGAAGAAUCCCUGGUGAUUUCACGGGUUUUCUUUCUGUGGUACAUAAACGAGAAUUCUCAACCAGAGGUUGUAUUGGAGCUGAGGUCGUAAUAAGCAUUUGAAAUAUAUCCUCUGGCCAAAUUUCAUGGUACGUUGCAGAUGUAUAUCUCUUAUUUGCUGCAUACAGUUCAGUUGACUUGCAAUUUUGAUUAUUCCAUCUUUAUUUUUAUGUAAUAUUAUGUCAGAGUAUUGUGUGUGACUUUGAUACCUUAUUCGAGUAAAUGACUCAGGUGGCAGAGCUCAGUGCGACACUAACAUGAGAUAUUUGAAUCUACCAACUCCAAUGAAGAUCUAUAAUUGUUAUAGUAUAAUGGGUAACACAAUUGAAGUAUUUACUAUUGGAAUUUCUGUUUUGGUUAAUAACAAUUUUUAAUUGAUUUUAAAAUCCACAGACAGAUGUUGUUUGGUUGCAUUUAGUCUCUAGCUAUUAUACUUUGCUUGCCCAGCUAUUUUUUGUUUGUAAAAGACGAAAACCGCAGUUCUACAAAGUAAUGGCCUUCAUUUGAGAUAUUCUGUUGUGCACCUAAUUUGGCAUCUUUUUUACAUGGCUUUUAUUGGUACAAUCUGAAAUUUUACACCUUUGAGGCAGAAAUUACAAUCUAAGUUGAACAUUCAUUCAAACUGGAGGUUCAAAUCACUGGGGUAACAUCUGAUUUUUUCUUCUUUGCUCUCUUGCCACCCAUGUAAGUAGAUCUCUUUACAUGAGUGGGAAAAACCAAUUCGAUUUUACUUCUUCAUUGGUUUUUCUGAAACUAAAGAUGUGAAUGUUAAAUGCUUUAGUAGUUUUAGUUCAAUUGAAUUGAUGGGUAAAUUUAUUUUUUCAGGGUAUAAAUAUGCCGAAAUGGAUAGUAUGCCUGCUGUUAUAUUCCUUUGAAUAAUGUGAUUGUUGUUGAUAUCAUAUGCAGUCUAGCAUAUCACAGUUUUAUCACUAUGUGAUAAGAUUGUCGGUACUAAAGCUACAUUAGUGGAGGGAGUCAUGACCCUUAGGUUUUGGUGGCUUCUCUACUUAACUAUGAACAUCUUGGGAAAGAGGUUUAUUAGCGUGUCGCUCUUAACUCAGUUUCAGCCUUUACUCUGAUUGUUUCUUAGUUAUAUACAGGUGUCAUACAUCUAACGUCCCUCUCUUACAUUUUUGUGUUAUAUACCCUUGCAUCUCAUUAUUUUUCAGGCGGAAUCCAAUAUAGUUGUGGAAUACUGAGUACUGAGCAUGAAGAUUCGUGAUUUUCUUAAAUUUAUUAUUAAUAAUAAUGCAAUCUUGAAACACUGUGGUAGUAGUUAUUCUUAUGUAAGAAGAGCUUUACCUUAUAUGACCUCGAGUAGCUGAUAAUUGCAGCUCAUAUCCUUGCACGUUUUGCAUUAUUGAUUUGGUUCCCCUUAAUUAGAAUACGUAAGAAACUAUAUGACUCUCAUCUGACAUUUGCCAUGCGAGAGGCCCAACAGUAGACCUCCAGGAUCAUAUGGUGGAAAAUCAAGUGUUGCUGAAAAGUCGCAGUGAUCCAGAAGCAUGUAUUUUAGUCCAGAUUGAGUUCGUGUUAGAAGCAGGGUCUCCGGAUUUCAAUGCAGUUUCUGCUACGUUGAAGAGCUCUAAUGUAGAAGUUUCUUUAUUCCACCUCCAACACAUAGAAAGAUCUAUCCGAAGUCUGUUACCCCUGGAUAUAGCAACGUUCACAGCUUCAACUGACACCAGCAAGUGCUCCAUCUAGAAUUCUUAAACCUAAACGAGUUGAUGUUGAUACUAUUUCAGUUUUAUUUGUGUAAUCAAUAUAAAUUGUUUACUCUUCUGACUUUUCUUUCUGAUGCCAUGUUACAAAUGCAGCUACACUCUAAGCACGUUAGAGAGAAAUUCAGACAAGAACCCUCAAAAGCAAGUUAGAGAGAAUCAGAAGAUGAACGGCUCAGGCUUCAUAGGCCUGAUUCGUAGAUAUAUAUGCUCAGGCUUCCGCUUCAUAAUAUCACUGAGAUAGUCAUUCAAGUGCUACCCCUGCAAAAAAAAAAUGGUAAUGAAGAACCCCCGCAAAAUCACAAACUGAUCUGUAAGACCUAAGGCGAACAACUUUCCUCCGAUCACAUUAACAUAAAGUGAUUUUUCACGGUCGAGGAGGUACAAUAAACCGUAAACGGGUGCAAAAUACUGGGAGGAGUUGUAGGAAGCAGCUACCUACAAUAGCUGUGAGCGCGAACAGAUUUAUUGGUUUGUUGGUCUUUGCAUCUCAAUAUAUCCAGGUAACAACAUGUAACAUAAAUAUGGAUUCAUUUUCUGCCAUUAACAAAGCUCCAUUAUCCUAAAAAAAGGAAACAUAGCGUUUUUUAAGCUCAUUGUUUCAUGUUCAUCAGUUGGGAAACAAAACUCAAUUAUUUCUUCCAAAUCCUGUUUAAAUAUUUUAUGGAUAAUUUCUUAGAACACAACUGUUUUAAUAUUCAGAGUCCUUAUCGUUUGCGUAGUGGUAGGUAACAUUUUAGUCGUGAUUUCUAGACUUAGAUUUUUUUAAAGAACCAUUAAUUGAGGGAUAAAAAUGGAAUUGGGGGAUAUAAGAAAAGGACAAAAACUGGUUCCAGAUAUCAAUUCGGGGUCACCCCUUAUCUAAGUAUUUUACGUAUU